UUAGAGGAAGUAAAAGUCGUAACAAGGUUUCCGUAGGUGAACCUGCGGAAGGAUCAUUAUCGAGUACUUUGAAAAGGGUUGCAGCUGGCCUCUCGGGGCAAGUGCUCGCCCCGCUCAAACAAUCCACUCAAACACCUGUGCACCUUUUUGAACUCGCGAUUUUUUCGGACGAGGGGAUGUCAAAGUCCCUUUGACCGGAGGGGUCACCCGUUCUAUUACAAACACCUUAUUGAGUUUUUGAAUGUAAUUUGGUUGGCUUAAAUAAAAUACAACUUUCAACAACGGAUCUCUUGGCUCUCGCAUCGAUGAAGAACGCAGCGAAAUGCGAUAAGUAAUGUGAAUUGCAGAAUUCAGUGAAUCAUCGAAUCUUUGAACGCACCUUGCGCUCCUUGGUAUUCCGAGGAGCAUGCCCGUUUGAGUGUCGUGAAAUCAUCAACCCCCUACAAUUUGUUUUGUUGGGAGGCUUGGAAUUGAGGGUUCUUGUCGGAGAUUUACUUCGACUCCCUCGAAAGUCAUUGGCUUCCGGUGAACCCUUCGUUGGCGUGAUAGGCAAUAUCUACGUCUGUGCGGGCGGGGACGUCGGCGCCUUGUGGAAACUACUUUUUUCCUUUGACCUCAAAUCGGGUAGGACUACCCGCUGAACUUAAGCAUAUCAAUA
rnacentral:rRNA from 1 species